UCGGUGUCGUCCAUUCUAAUUUCCAUUUUCCAAUUCAUUUUGUUUCAUAAUUCGUUGUUAUUUCGUCCGUUAGCGAUCGUUUGUCGGAAUUAAUUAAUAACUUUGUGAACUUGUUUUUCUGUUUAUUUCAUCAAUUGAUUGUAUUACUUUCUAAAGUGCAUAGUGUCUGCAAUUGCUUAGGUCAACACAUUUUUCUGCGAAUUGUGCUUGCAGCAGCUUUCUGAUGGAGCUGCAGGCAUUAGUAGUGCUGGGUGGUGUGGGGCUGGUGGGAGUUGCUGUGCUACUGCUCAUGGGGCUCUUCUCCUCGUCGGGGACCAGCUAUGAGGAAGCCAUAGCUCAGCAGAGGCGAGCGACCAGUGAACUUCUGGCUUUAGCUGACAAUAAGAACAAGUCUAAAAAGACCAACAAGAAGGCUAAUAAAAAGUUAGCAAAGAAGGAAAAGAAAGAAGCAGCUGCUGUCACAGGUAGUGAGCCUGAGAGUGAGGCGCCGGCCGAAAGUGGUGUGGAAGACGAGUCCGCCCCAUCAAAGCCUCAUGUGGAAUUCAGCUCUACUGUACUUGUGGAAGCACCCACAGACAACCCACCUAACAUUGCUGUGAAGAUUCGCAAACGCGGCAAGGAUCCUAAAAUUAAGCCGAUUUUAAUAAAUAAAGAGGAUCCAAGCUGCGUUAGCGAUCCGAGCGCGGCGGCCACCCCCUGUGCAGACGUUUCUAACCAUUUUGAGGAAAUGCAUCCCAAGGAUGAGUUCGAGUUGUUGCAAUCUUCAUUAGAAAAAGUAUCAGAGAAAAAAGACGAUGUCGCAGAGAAGAAAGAAGGCAAACCGCCGAAGCAGUCGAAGGGCGCCAAGGCUGCACAGAAGCAAACUUCAGAACCUUUAAAGGAGGAAUCUUCAUCUGAAAAACAAAUCAUCAGCGAGGCACCUCUUGAACAACGCAAAGGAAAGAAAGGCGAGAAGAAGGUAGUUUCAGAGGCGUCGGAGGUAGAAGAGGUGGUGCCGCCUCUCAACGCGCCGCAGCCGAGCGAGCUCACCACCGACAAGCUGCUGCGGCAGGCGCUGCAGCCCGUCGCGCCUACUCCCUCCCCGCCCACCAAGUCUAAGAAGAAGAAGGCUGACCAGGACAUGCUCUCACUCCUGGGCGGCGAAGGCAGCGUGGCGUUCGGCGACCUGCUGCGCGUGGUGCGCGCCGCCACGCUCUCGCGCGACGAGAUCCAGGGCCUCACCGACGCGCUGCUCAACAAACACCACGACCCUCUGCCCGCGCACUCCGAGUGGACCGAGGGUCCCAAUGAUCCAAUGCAAAAGUUGAAGAAGCAGUUGGCUGAUAAAGAAAAAUCUCUGACUGACGAGUUGGAAGCCUCGAAAGCCCUCAAGGCCAAAGUUCAAGAGCUCCGUGCUAACCUGAACGCGGAGCGCGCGGCGGCGAGCACGGCGCGCGCCGAGCUGCACACGCAGCAGACGCGCCUGCAGCGCCUGCUCGAGGAGCACCACGCGCUCGUGCUGGAGAAGAACACGCUUAUGGGACAAAUCAGUGAAAGUGAAGCUCAAGUUUCGCGGAUGGAUUUACUUAUUCAAAGGCUUUCUGAGUCGGAGGUAGCGCUGCGCGCGGAGCUGACGGCGUGCGUGGUGGAGGCGGGGCAGACGCGCGACGACGCCGUGCUGGCGCACCAGCACAACGCCGAGCUGGCGCAGCAGCUGCAGGAGGCGACGCUGGCGCUGGCCGAGCUGGAGCAGCAGCGCCAGUUCGCCGCGCACAGCGACCAGCGCGCGCAGCAGGAGCUGCGACAGACGCAGGCGCGCCUCGCGGGAUUCAAUGAACUCCAAAACGAUUUGCAACGUAUGACCGCCAGAGCGCAGGCUGCCGAAAGUAACAUAGAAAAGCUUAAUGAGGAAAUCCAAAAACAAAAGGACGAGCUAACUAAGGAGGUGGCAUCUCUCAGAGAACAGUUGGCCGAACGCGAGGCCGAGCUCGCUGAACUGAAGCAACUGAAGGCGGCGCCCGCACAAAAUGGACUGCCUGCCAAUACCAUUAACGACGAGCACAAGGCAGCGGAGCUUGCAAAGGUGGAAAGCACCGUGGAGUCCCUAAGGAACGAGCUGGUCUCUGCACAGGAGAGCAUCUCUGAGCAGAAGAACCAGGUCGCCAGUCUUCAGGAACAGCUGCUGCAGUACCGGGACAAGAACAAUGAGUUGCGAACUAAAAACUGGAAAGUAGUGGAGGCGUUACAAACCGCCGAAAAGGCUCUCGCGACAAGAGUGGCGCCCGCGAUGCCGGCCCGAGACGCGCUUGCCGAGGCAGUAGUCAAAGCUCAAGAACAACAUUUCAUAGAAGUAGCGAACGUUCUACGCGCAGUAUGCCCCACAGCUGCACCGAACUCAUCUAUAGGACAAGAGUGGCUACAGGCUUUUGCCGAGAACCUCAAACAGGAACUCUCAAAGAAAGAGAAUGAGAAGCAACUAGUCGAAAAGGACUUCGCAUCGAAACUGUUACAAAAGGAAAACGAGAGAAAACAAAUAGAAAUCGAAAUGCAGAAAAAACUUCAAGAAAAGGAACAGGCAGUGAAAGAACUCGAGAACAAAAUGCAACAACAGUUAAAAGACAAGGAGUUAGCGUGUAAAACUAUUGAAAGCGAGUUACAAAAGAAGCUGCAAGAUGAACUGGCCGCAAAGAAACAGUCUGAAAGUGAAUUACUGAAUAAACUGCAAGAAGAAUUGAAUAUAAAGAAGAAACUGGAAAGUGAAUUGCAGAAGAAAGAAGUUAAAGAGGUCACAGUUCAGCAUACAGUGGUGGACGACUCGCGAGUCAAAGAUUUGGAAAGCCAGAAUGUAUAUCUACAGAGACAAGUGGAAAAAUACAAGACCAUCAUCGAUGACACUGAGGAUGUAUUGAGCCGGCUGCAGCAGAAAGUAUCCAGCGAAGAGGAUCGCUGGCAGAAGGAACUGGCCAGCAGGCAGAAUGAUCUUGAGACGCUGCGGCUGCGCACCGUGCAACAGAUGCAAAAUAAAAUAGAUUCACUGCAAGCAGAAUUACAAAAAUCACAAACAAGGAACCACAGUCACAGCUUCGCGGACGCUGAAAGAACUGCUGAGGAAAAUCUAAUGGCGGGUUUUGCCAAUCAUGACACAGAAGUACACAACGGGCCACUACAGGUGAGACUGAGGACGGGACAGCGGCAAACCUUGCAGGAUUGGGCGUCUCAAUAAAAAAAGCAAAAUUUUGUAGUAAUUUUCAUUAUACCUAUGUACGUUUACAGUUGGCUAAAGAACAGAUAAAGUUGAGCGAAAUUUAACAAACACAAAGUGCAAUGUACAACGCAGUUUAAGGCUGGAAUUUACCGUCGCGUCUCCUCAUUCACUGCCGAAUAAUCGAUAAGAUUAACCCUUACCAGGGUGUCCUGUAAAUUGUGUUUUUUCCAAAAAAAAAACUGUGAAUUCUACAUAUUUAGAAUCGAAACACUGAAAAUCGGUGCGACAUACACUGAAAACGCGCAAAAAAACUCAAAAAAAAAUUAAUUAUAACAACAGUUGGUUAAGGAAUCACAUUGAUUGAGGUCAGAUUUUUAAAUUAAAUGGCUCUUAACCGGACACCCUGUUAAGUGAACCCUGUUUUUAUAAGACAUGUUAAAUAUUUUUAAUAGAAAAUGCACUCAAUGAAAUGGGUGUUAAAACUUCUGUUAAAUUUCAACUCUGUUGAUUGAUUGGGAUUUCCGAUUGCUAAAAAUUUCCCAGCCCACUUGUAAAUAAUACCAACAAGGAAUGGUAAAAUAUAUGAAGAGAUUCAUCGGAAAACUCAUUUUUACUAUUCAAUUUUUUACUAGAAAGACUAGCUGAUUAGUGAUUAAAAUCACAUAAUUAUUCGUAAAUAUCAUUUCAAUUGUGCUCAAGGGAAAUAAGUUCAUUUUUAGACUUUCGAUCCUUUCAAAUUACUGGGUAAAAUUUGUAAAAUUAUUACACCAUCUGUUUAUAGAUAUUAUAUAUUUUAAUCCAUUUUUGUUUGUGUUCUGACCAGUGGUACUAGUAUCAUCACAUUGUAUGGCCAUAUGAUAAUUUAUUUAACCGCCUCUUUUUUU